AAAGUAUGUUCGCCCCUAUCAUUACUGAAUCCAUAGGUUAUGAGGCGAACCGGGGGAACUGNUNCAUCUAAGUACCCCGAGGAAAAAGAAAUCAACCGAGAUUCCCCCAGUAGCGGCGAGCGAACGGGGAGGAGCCCAGAGCCUGAAUCAGUGUGUGUGUUAGUGGAAGCGUCUGGAAAGGCGUGCGAUACAGGGUGACAGCCCCGUACACAAAAUGCACAUAUUGUGAGCUCGAUGAGUAGGGCGGGACACGUGGUAUCCUUGUCUGAAUAUGGGGGGGACCAUUCUCCAAGGCUAAAUACUCCUUGACUGACCGAUAGUGAACCGUUCCGGGAGGGAAAG
rnacentral:rRNA from 1 species